rnacentral:rRNA from 1 species
AUUGAACGCUGGCGGCAUGCUUUACACAUGCAAGUCGAACGGCAGCGGGGGCUUCGGCCCGCCGGCGAGUGGCGAACGGGUGAGUAAUGCAUCGGAACGUGCCCAGUCGUGGGGGAUAACACAUCGAAAGAUGUGCUAAUACCGCAUACGUCCUGAGGGAGAAAGCGGGGGAUCUUCGGACCUCGCGCGAUUGGAGCGGCCGAUGUCGGAUUAGCUAGUUGGUGGGGUAAAAGCCCACCAAGGCGACGAUCCGUAGCGGGUCUGAGAGGAUGAUCCGCCACACUGGGACUGAGACACGGCCCAGACUCCUACGGGAGGCAGCAGUGGGGAAUUUUGGACAAUGGGGGCAACCCUGAUCCGGCCAUGCCGCGUGAGUGAAGAAGGC